rnacentral:rRNA from 1 species
CCUACGGGCGGCAGCAGUGAGGAAUAUUGGUCAAUGGACGCAAGUCUGAACCAGCCAUGCCGCGUGCAGGAAGACGGCUCUAUGAGUUGUAAACUGCUUUUGUACGAGGGUAAACGCAGAUACGCGUAUCUGUCUGAAAGUAUCGUACGAAUAAGGAUCGGCUAACUCCGUGCCAGCAGCCGCGGUAAUACGGAGGAUUCAAGCGUUAUCCGGAUUUAUUGGGUUUAAAGGGUGCGUAGGCGGUCGGAUAAGUUAGAGGUGAAAUCCCGAGGCUCAACUUCGGAAUUGCCUCUGAUACUGUUCGGCUAGAGAGUAGGUGCAGUAGGCGGAAUGUAUGGUGUAGCGGUGAAAUGCUUAGAGAUCAUACAGAACACCGAUUGCGAAGGCAGCUUACCAAGCUACUUCUGACGUUGAGGCACGAAAGCGUGGGGAGCGAACAGGAUUAGAUACCCUGGUAGUC